rnacentral:sRNA from 1 species
GCGGGCAUCUUUCAGCCGAGCAUGUCUCUACCUCUAUCUCCUCUCCCAGGUCAAGCCGCUGCUGCAGGUGAGCCGGCAGGAGGAGGAGAUGAUGGCCAAGGAGGAAGAGCUGGUGAAGGUCAGAGAGAAGCAGCUGGCUGCAGAGAACAGGCUCACAGAGAUGGAGACGCUGCAGUCUCAGCUCAUGGCAGAGAAAUUGCAGCUGCAGGAGCAGCUCCAGGCAGAAACCGAGCUGUGUGCCGAGGCUGAGGAGCUCCGGGCCCGCCUGACCGCCAAGAAGCAGGAACUAGAAGAGAUCUGCCAUGACCUAGAGGCCAGGGUGGAGGAGG